rnacentral:lncRNA from 1 species
GAGAAACAUGCAGAUAAAUCAGUCAAUGCCAACUGCUGGGGGAAACGUCCAUAGUCUGCAGGUUCCCACAGAAAGGAUAGCACUUCCAUCCUCUCCCAUGAGGGAAAAAUAAAGGAGAAAAGCUUUCGGCCUCUCACCAUAAGCUCAUUCAGUCCUCCCCUUGGGAAGAGAAAUGACUUAACUGAGGACUGUGCUUGAAAGUAGCUGUACUGGUGAAACUCAGCCUCUGUGGGUUUCUCUCUCUUUCAGAGUCAGCUCUCUUCAGGAUGCGCAUUUAUUUCUCCCUUUGGAGGAGGCCUCAGUCCACCUCAGCCAAGGACUGAAAGGCACAUCUGGCUAAUUCAAGACUGGGGUAUUGGGAGGUCCCCUUGGCCCCAGAUCUAUGAUAUGUUCUCAAGUCCUGAGACCUGCUGACUCUCGUGUCUCAUUUCUCAGUUGGGUCAUAUCUUGGUGUUAUUUGUGUUCCCAGCUCUAACAGGAAGGUUCCUAAGCACUCAUUUCUUCUUAACCAAUUUCUGAAGGUAAAAUGUUGGUGAAGAGUGCUCUUUUCUUCCUGCUACCAUUAAUUGGUGUUUAUUUUGUGUCAGGCACUGUUGAGUAUUUUACAUUUCUUAUCUAGUUUGAUCUUUACAGCAACUUUAUAUGACAGACAUUGUUCCCCCAUUUUUCAGGCUAGAAAUCUGAGGCCCAGUGUCCCACAAUGGCUGUGUGGUGACACUAGGCUUUGAGCACAGAUGGUUGACUUCCAAAGCCUAUGUUCCUAACCAUUAUGCCACUCUGUGUUGUGACAGUGUCAAACAUACUUUCAUUCAUAUGUAUCUUUUAACUGAUCAUGUUCUUGUGUGAUUUCUUUCAGAAAGGCUUUUACAUCAAAUAUUGAUAAUGAUAAUAAUAAUGAACACAUGUUGAGCACUUACCAUGUCUCAAGCACUGCUCUAGAGCUUCCCAUGAAAGAACCCCUCUAAUCUUCAGAACAACCCUGUGAGGAGCUGCUGUUAAAUGAACACCUUGAUAUCUUCAUUCUUGGAGAGAAAUGAGCCAAGGAGGAAGACCAUCUAAAAAAUACCACUAGACAAUUUGUGCUCACUGGAGUGGUAUCUGCUGGGCAAAAGGUCUUUAGAAUGACUCGUGGAUUUUCUGGCAAGUGGCAAACCACACAAGUGCUAUGUCAGGCCAGGAAGACAGGUGCAGCCCUGUCAGUGUCAAAGAAGAACACUGGUAGCAGAAGAGCUAAGAGUGAAUGAAAAUUGAAUUAUCUUUAUUUCUAGGACUUGUCUAUUGAGAAACAACAGUGCUGGCAACCAUUUACUACCAACAAGAGGCAGUUCCAAGAGAAGAAUAUAAAAUAUGCUCUGCUCAAUCCCACAAAACUCAGAGUGUCUCACAAUGGCCAAUUUCUUAUUUUUACCCUGUCCAGAGACAAGGAAGGAUGUAUCAGGGAGCUGCUAGCCUCUGCGAUGAAUAACUUGAGUCAGGCUGCAACAUGUGAAAGAAUUCAGCUGAUCAGGAUUUAUAACACUAGCUGGAUUUUUUGCUUUCUUUGGGGUUCAUGAAGCGUGGUGUUGUGAGAUACCACAGGAUUCCCAGAAUAAAGUUACAUACCUAUUUCUCUUCCUUAUUUUUAUUUUUUUGGCACGUUCAUACCAUUUUAUUACCAACAUCGUUGGCAUCCCUGAGUAUGAGAGUUCAGAAGAAACUUAGAGGCUAUUGUCUGAUUCAAUCCUUGCAGCUUACAAAAAGAAAUGUGGGGAGCAGUCACUGUGUGACUAGCCUGAGGUCACUCAGGAAGUUAGAGGCAGAACUGCAGCCAGGGUCACCUCUCUUUACUGCUACUAGUGUGCUCUUUCUACUGCACCCUGAUCAUAAAACAUCUCCCAACCCAGGAACAAGGUCUACCGCAUAGGUGGUCACAGCAGCAUGAUCACUAUCUCAGUCAUCUGUACUCCUCCUUUGCUUUGACCAAAGACACAGGAAGGGACCUUUUGCCCCACAUAAAACACCUCUCAGAGGCUUGGCAACAACAACAGAUAAUAGAGAGCAUUGACCUAAGACCAACAUUUCAACCAUGGUGUCAAAACAAUAUUUUAUUUCAGCAAAGAAAAACUAUGUCACAAGUGGAUUAUUAUUACUAAUAAUCAGACUAGUGGUACUUGCGAAUGACUUGGUUUCAUACUCACACUUGGACAACUAUGCACACUGAGUAUAACUGACCUUAUGAGAACAUCAUUCUCACUAAGAUUAUGAUGUGCUUUCUCACGUGAGAACUGUACAUAAUAUUGUGUGUACCCUUGGGAGGAUGUCCUGCCUGUGAUGUUGUCUUUCAGGGGAAGAAGAAUGGUUGAGAAUUGAGGGUAUAUUAAACAUUUACUCCUCCAGAUUUUUCAAGAUUUCUGUUAAGCCAGAUCAGAAGAAAGCCAUCUAUUUGGAUUGCAUCACUCUAACCUGGUAAGUCGAAUUGUCUACACAGAAUUAUAAUUUCACGAUAUGUCCAGAUUACUUACCGAGAGCCAAUUUGAGACACAAACAGGACUAGUAAAACAUCUUUGCACUGUGGGUAGUGUUGCUAUCAAAGACCUUAUACAUUAUGUCAUUCAAGAACCUUUAUAUUAAGAUCCUUAUGGAAAAUCUUUCCCAAAGUUUAACCCUAUGAUAAAGGGUUUUUUUCUCCUGGUAACAUAGUGGGCAAUUGGGAACUGUUUAACCCAAUGCAUUGAUUUCAUUGAUUGUUUUGGUUGCUGAGAAGUAUGGAUGCUCAGAAUAGGUUUUCUUGUUUUCAACUGCUAAUUCCUUUAUUUAAAUUGUAAUAAAUGUUUCCCUUUACUUCUUUCCUUUUUCUUUUUAAGAAAUUUAAUGUAUUUCAUAAUAAAUUAUAAGUUAUCAAUAGAUCAAUUAGCAUAGAAUAGUUUGGAAUAAUGCUUAGAGAUCUCCCAUUGAAAAAG